UCUCAGAAGUGUCAUCUGAGGUGCUGGAGACUGAGGCCAUCCUUUGAUGAGCUGGAGCAGCUGUUAGAAGGCCAACCCCAAUGUGCACACUCGGAAGCAGAAGAUCAUCCUGGUGCACCACUGCUCUCUAGCAGGUCUCAGUCUGGUUCCUUUCUGAGCAGCACUGGCUCAGACUAGUGGCUUUACUAGUGCUCUUGGUUGGCUUUCCCUGGUCUUGCCCAGAUGAGUCUUGGUCUCCAGCUGCAGAAAGAGGAAACACCAUUUCUGGCUGCACAGCAAGGGUUUCCAAAGAAGUCUGGGCUGUAGUUGAUGUGUAAGCCUGGCAAGCCUGAAUGUAACGCCAGCCAGUAAGCCUGGAGAAAGGAGUGUAUCAUCUUAGGAGUCCACAGUGGGAG